CGGUGGAGUAACCUUUUAGGAGCUAGCCGUCGAAGGUGGGACAAAUGAUUGGGGUGAAGUCGUAACAAGGUAGCCGUAUCGGAAGGUGCGGCUGGAUCACCUCCUUUCU
rnacentral:rRNA from 1 species